rnacentral:pre_miRNA from 1 species
CAUAUACUCCCUCCGUCCGGAAAUACUUGUCGAAGGAAUGAAUGUAUCUAGAUGUAUUUUAUUUCUAGAUACAUCCAUUAUUAUUCACUUUUGUGACAAGUAAUUCCGGACGGAGGGAGUAUUUG